GUUCAUCCAAGGUUCCUUACCCUUAUGCACGAAUUAUUGAAUAAGCCAUCUUCCUAUCAAGGUUAAGGAGUCAACUGAGCAUCUCAGCGGCGGGAUUGAAUACCCGGAUCGAAUCAGAGUUCACGCCGCCCGCCCUGAACAAAUAGGAGGCGUGGGCCACAGGUCGCACAUAAGCCGCCGGGUCGCACGACAGAAGAACACCCAACAUAAAGAUGCACACUCCUCCAUGUGAAAUAUUCAUCUUC
rnacentral:lncRNA from 1 species